CAGACACGUCAGUAGUUUGAUCCUGGCUCGAGGACGAACGCUGGCGGCGCGCCUAACACAUGCAAGUCGAACGGAGUUAUUGAGAGCUUGCUUUUGAUAACUUAGUGGCGGACGGGUGAGUAACACGUGAGCAACCUGUCCUUUUAGGUGGGGAAUAACGGCUGGAAACGGUCGCUAAUACCGCAUAAUGUAUUGAUAUGGCAUCAUAUUGAUACCAAAGAUUUAUCGCUAAAAGAUGGGCUCGCGUCCGAUUAGCUAGUUGGUGGGGUAAAGGCUCACCAAGGCGACGAUCGGUAGCCGGACUGAGAGGUUGAACGGCCACAUUGGGACUGAGACACGGCCCAG
rnacentral:rRNA from 1 species